rnacentral:lncRNA from 1 species
AACGAUCUGCUCUUGAGCAGAAUAGGAAGCUGUAAAAGUCCCGGGCUUACCAAGCAAGUCAAGCUCCCUUCUUAAGUGGGAUUUAUCGAGAUAGGCUGAGAGAGCUUGGCCGGAGCUCUUCCUGCAGUACAACAAGCAAAGUAUAGCCCACAAAACAAAGAAAAUGAGCAAAGCCAGCGGGAAGCCGAAGAAGAACCAGGUACUGAAGCUGAUGGGGUCGGCCUCGGGGAAAUAACUCCUCCACAUCCCCACCAAUAUGAGGUUGACACCUGUCCCGGUGAGCGUGCUCAUCCCCCCCACGGCGGCGGAGUAAAUUACACCCAGCACGACAGCCUUGCAGAAAUUAGUGACUUCGUUGGACCGAGUGGGGCCCGACGGAAACCUGUGCAAAAUUCCAGUAGCCACGGGCAUCAUCAUCACCGCCGCUGCCACGUUGUGCAUCCACAUGCUCACAAACGCUGUCGUGGCACAAAUCCCCAGCAGAAGUAACGGUGGAUUCAAGGGAUCACCACAAAAUACCAGAGUUAUCUGCAUAUGGACCCCCAAAUAAUGCAAGUCAAGAUUAAAAAAAAAUCACCCAAAAUGUUCAUCAUCAUCUUUUUUUCCUUUUUUUUUGGGGGACGCGGGGGGGGGGGGGGGCGAGGUAAGGCAGGACAACAUGGUACUGACUAGCUAGCUAGCAGUUUUGGUCCUGUGAUGAUGAUGGAUGGACGUAGGUUGAUGAGUCAAAAGAUGGGAGGGGACAAUUAGGUUAAUACAACAGUACCUGCAAGAAGAGACAGUAAAGUAAAUGUCAGAGAAUCUUGUUCGUGAGAGGCCGGCCUGGCUACAUGAGGAUAAAGUCCAGUGCCUCAAUCAAUUCUACUGCAUAAAAAAUGAAAAGGAUCAUUAAAUUACCAAGAGUAGGCAUCAAAAUAGACAGCGCUAAGGUGCCAGCAAUCUUGAGGGGCAAUCCGGUCUUGAUCAUGUCCGGAAUCUCAAUAUGUCCGGUUGUAAAACCCACAAUGUUUGAAGGAGUUCCUGUUGGGAGCAAGAAAGCAAACUGUGCUCCAAUGGCACCUGGCACCAUGAGGAGGAGUGGGUGCAAAUGCAUCGUCUUUGCAAUUUGGAUCAGGAGUGGGACCACAAGGGUCGUGGUGGAGUUAUUAGAAGUGAAUUCGGUGAUUGCCCCGCUAAUCAGGCAAACAAUUGGAGCAAUGGCCAAGUAUGGGGCAGCCUCCAAGAAAUCCAGAGCCUUGGAUAAGAUGUCUGCCAGCCCGCUUGACCUCACUCCAUUAGCUAUUGCAAAACCUGCCCCUAAGAGUAGUACGAUGUUCCAUGGCAGCUUCUUGCAUUUGUUCCAGUCCAUUAAUCUCUCUCCCUUCUGCUUCUUGUUUGGAAUUAUGAACAACAGGGUUGCCAUCAUCACCUACGCACGCAUCGCAGACCAAGCGUUUAAAGCUAUCUAAACAGAAACUACUACUUUAAUAAAUAUGGCUGGCAAGAAGCCAAGAAGCAUCAAGGUGGGAUAACACUUACACUAACAGUUCCAUCACCAGCGCGCCCCUGGAAUAGAGCGCCCCAUCCGGGAGUAUCAUCUGUGAUGCUUCUCGUCAUCCAUAACAGUAUCAAUAUCUAACAGUAACAACUAGCCCAAAAUCAGAAAUCAAGUAGCUCAACAUUUGAUCACUAAUUAAAUCCAGACUAGACUUACAGAAAACACGGCUAGAACCAUCUUUUCAGCAAAAGCCAUUGGACCUGCACAGUAGAUCAGAUGAAACUUUAGACUUGUAAUCAUAAAUAAAAAUUGAAAGGGCUUUCUUCUUUUGGAAAAGAAAAAAAAAAAAAGAAGAAGAAGAAGAAACGAUCUGCUCUUGAGCAGAAUAGGAAGCUGUAAAAGUCCCGGGCUUACCAAGCAAGUCAAGCUCCCUUCUUAAGUGGGAUUUAUCGAGAUAGGCUGAGAGAGCUUGGCCGGAGCUCUUCCUGCAGUACAACAAGCAAAGUAUAGCCCACAAAACAAAGAAAAUGAGCAAAGCCAGCGGGAAGCCGAAGAAGAACCAGGUACUGAAGCUGAUGGGGUCGGCCUCGGGGAAAUAACUCCUCCACAUCCCACCAAUAUGAGGUUGACACCUGUCCCGGUGAGCGUGCUCAUCCCCCCACGGCGGCGGAGUAAAUUACACCCAGCACGACAGCCUUGCAGAAAUUAGUGACUUCGUUGGACCGAGUGGGGCCCGACGGAAACCUGUGCAAAAUUCCAGUAGCCACGGGCAUCAUCAUCACCGCCGCUGCCACGUUGUGCAUCCACAUG